CCUACGGGUGGCAGCAGUGGGGAAUAUUGGGCAAUGGGCGCAAGCCUGAACCAGCCAUGCCGCGUGCAGGAAGACGGCUCUAUGAGUUGUAAACUGCUUUUGUACGAGGGUAAACGCAGAUACGCGUAUCUGUCUGAAAGUAUCGUACGAAUAAGGAUCGGCUAACUCCGUGCCAGCAGCCGCGGUACUACGGAGGAUUCAAGCGUUCUCCGGAUUUAUUGGGUUUAAAGGGUGCGUAGGCGGUCGGAUAAGUUAGAGGUGAAAUCCCGAGGCUCAACUUCGGAAUUGCCUCUGAUACUGUUCGGCUAGAGAGUAGUUGCGGUAGGCAGAAUGUAUGGUGUAGCGGUGAAAUGCUUAGAGAUCAUACAGAACACCGAUUGCGAAGGCAGCUUACCAAGCUACUUCUGACGUUGAGGCACGAAAGCGUGGGGAGCAAACAGGAUUAGAUACCCUUGUAGUC
rnacentral:rRNA from 1 species